AAACAUGGCUCUUUGAGAUUUAUAUAUAAAGAGUCGGGCCUGCCCAGUGAUGUAUUUUUAACGGCCGCGGUACUCUGACCGUGCGAAGGUAGCAUAAUCAUUUGCCCUAUAAUUGAGGGCUAGUAUGAAUGGUUUGACAUGAGCAUAACUGUCUCCUUAAAAUUUUAUAAAAUUUGGUUUUUAGGUGAAGAAACCUAAAUUAAAUUGAAAGACAAGAAGACCCUAUCGAGCUUUAGAAUAAUUAAUUAAAAAAUAUAAAUAAAACAAUUAAUUUUAAUUAAAAACUUUGGUUGGGGCGACUGAGGAACAUAUAAAGCUUCCUUAAUUAAACAAUGCUGAUAAGCAAUGAUCCAGGAAAUCUGAUUAAAAAAAUUAGUUACCGUAGGGAUAACAGCAUAAUCUUUUUUGAGAGCUCUUAUCGAAAAAAAGGUUUGUGACCUCGAUGUUGGACUAGGAUAUCCUAAAGAUGUAGAAGUCUUUAAUGGUUGCUCUGUUCGAGCAUAAAAAUCCUACGUGAUC
rnacentral:rRNA from 1 species